rnacentral:lncRNA from 1 species
GCAUUUAUUAAGCACUUACCAUAUGCCAAGCCCUUUGCUUAGUAGUGAUAAUAGAAAUAUAAGUAGAAAGAAAGACUUUUCCUUUAAAGGGGAAGUUCUGGGAAAAGCUAUCCAAUUAGAGGGAGACUGAGGUGGAAGGUUCUUUCAAUGUGUGGAUUCUAGAACCAGAGUGAGGCUUCAGAAUGAAGAGCAAGGAUAGGAAGUGGUAAAAUUUCAGGAUGGCAAAGGAAGUUCAGAGUGUAGCCUGGGACCACAUGAACGGCUAUGGUCCAGUUGUCUAAUAAAGGGGAAGUCCAGAAAUAUAGAUUGUCAAGAAGAGUGGUAUCCUAAUUUAAACUGAUCUAUCAUCCUAUGAAUUGGAUGUAGGCAUAGAUAGAACACUUACCAAAUUUGUAACUGAUUCAAAACGAGGAAGAAGAGCUAAUAAGUUGGAUGAUAGAACUGUAACCCUGGAAGCUCUUGACAGGUGAGGAAGGCAGAAGGAUUGGCUGGGCUGAGUCAGCAGCAGUGAAAAAAAAAGGUCCUUCUCUCAGGCUCCUUCAACACCUACACAUCUUCCAGAAGCCCGCUGCUGCUACCUCCAUUUGCGUCAACUGGCCCCCAACCAACCUCCCAGACCAACUGGCCCACAAGAUUACACUUAACUGGACCAGAGUUGGGAAGCCCCAAAGAAGGUCCUUAUUGUGGGCCUGGGGCUCCACAGUGGGCUGAAGCGGAAGCAACAAAACAGGUCACAUAUGAAGGUACCUUUCAUGUUUUGUACCUAUAGAAAGGCCUUGGAAAAAAUUGAAGUUAUUUUGAGUUCAGGAAGGAAAAGAUGAAAGGAGGUAGCAAAAGGCAAAAAGAGAGGAGAAAGAAUAAAUCCAACAGUGUAAGUUAUUCUUCUGUAUUU